rnacentral:rRNA from 1 species
AGAGUUUGAUCCUGGCUCAGAUUGAACGCUGGCGGCAUGCCUUACACAUGCAAGUCGAACGGCAGCGCGGGGCAACCUGGCGGCGAGUGGCGAACGGGUGAGUAAUACAUCGGAACGUGCCCGAGAGUGGGGGAUAACGGAGCGAAAGCUUUGCUAAUACCGCAUACGAUCUACGGAUGAAAGCAGGGGACCGCAAGGCCUUGCGCUCAUGGAGCGGCCGAUGGCAGAUUAGGUAGUUGGUGGGAUAAAAGCUUACCAAGCCGACGAUCUGUAGCUGGUCUGAGAGGACGACCAGCCACACUGGGACUGAGACACGGCCCAGACUCCUACGGGAGGCAGCAGUGGGGAAUUUUGGACAAUGGGCGCAAGCCUGAUCCAGCCAUGCCGCGUGCAGGAUGAAGGCCUUCGGGUUGUAAACUGCUUUUGUACGGAACGAAAAGACUCUUUCUAAUAAAGAGGGUCCAUGACGGUACCGUAAGAAUAAGCACCGGCUAACUACGUGCCAGCAGCCGCGGUAAUACGUAGGGUGCGAGCGUUAAUCGGAAUUACUGGGCGUAAAGCGUGCGCAGGCGGUUAUGUAAGACAGAUGUGAAAUCCCCGGGCUCAACCUGGGAACUGCAUUUGUGACUGCAUAGCUAGAGUACGGUAGAGGGGGAUGGAAUUCCGCGUGUAGCAGUGAAAUGCGUAGAUAUGCGGAGGAACACCGAUGGCGAAGGCAAUCCCCUGGACCUGUACUGACGCUCAUGCACGAAAGCGUGGG